rnacentral:misc_RNA from 1 species
CAAUGAGCAAACAAAAGGAACUAUUUAUACCAAAAGUGCCGGGAAAAGUUGGAAUGUAUGUGUGUGGUGUAACGGCGUAUGAUCUCAGCCAUAUCGGCCAUGCUCGCGUUUAUGUUUCCUUUGAUGUUCUAUAUAGAUACCUAAAUUAUUUGGGAUAUGAAGUCAAAUAUGUUCGCAACUUUACUGAUGUUGAUGACAAGAUUAUUGCUAGAGCAAAUGAGCUGGGUGAGGAUCCAAUCAUAUUGAGCAGACGCUUUUGCGAAGAAUUUCACCAAGACAUGGCUUAUCUUCACUGUCUUCCUCCUUCAGUGGAACCUCGUGUGUCUGAUCACAUGCCUCAGAUAAUCAAUAUGAUUCAGCAGAUUCUCGAUAAUGGUUGUGCUUACAGAAUCAAUGGUGAUGUCUACUUUUCUGUAGACAAAUUCCCAGAAUAUGGAACAUUAUCUGGCCGAAAAUUGGAAGAUAAUAGGGCAGGAGAACGUGUAGCAGUAGACACAAGGAAG